UCAAUUCCCAAAGCCGGACGCAACCAGCCAUCUACCGACACUAAUGCUGGUGACCCUGAUUCUCAGGAGGGGUCAAAGGUCAAACCAGGUGGAUAUGACCCUGUCAAAGUGGUCCUGGUGACACUCUGUGUUCUUCUGAUGGGUGCUGUCAUUGGACUUGUGUUCCUGUAUAUCAGCAACCUGCCAACCAAAAACACAGAGCUCCAAAUUCUGCAAGCGGCUUACYAUCAAAAUCUUACAUCAGCUUUAAUGAUCAAAAACAGAGAGCUUCAAGAACUGCAAGACAAGAUCAAAGAUCUUCAGAAGGAACGUGCAGGUGAGUGACACACAGAUAUGACCCUCCAAUUAAAUUGUAUUGUCUGCCACUAAUACAGCCUUUCCAUUGAAUC